rnacentral:rRNA from 1 species
CAGCAGCCACGGUAAUACAGAGGGUGCGAGCGUUAAUCGGAUUUACUGGGCGUAAAGCGUGCGUAGGCGGCUUCUUAAGUCGGAUGUGAAAUCCCUGAGCUUAACUUAGGAAUUGCAUUCGAUACUGGGAAGCUAGAGUAUGGGAGAGGAUGGUAGAAUUCCAGGUGUAGCGGUGAAAUGCGUAGAGAUCUGGAGGAAUACCGAUGGCGAAGGCAGCCAUCUGGCCUAAUACUGACGCUGAGGUACGAAAGCAUGGGGAGCAAACAGGAUUAGAUACCCCCGUAGUCCUUGUCUCUUAUAC